AGCUCCAAUAGCGUAUAUUAAAGUUGUUGUGGUUAAAAAGCUCGUAGUUGGAUCUCGGCGGUCUGAGGGCGGUUCGCUUCAGAGCGCUACUGCCCUAUAGACCGUAGUUUUGCCAGAGGUCUCAGGGUGCUCUUAACCGAGUGUCUUGCGAUGCUGGCAGGUUUACUUUGAAAAAAUUAGAGUGCUCAAAGCAGGCUUUUACGCCUGAAUAUUCGUGCAUGGAAUAAUAGAAUAGGAAGUCGUUUCUAUUUUGUUGGUUUUCGGAAAUCGACUUAAUGAUUAAUAGGGACAGUCGGGGGCAUUUGUAUUCAAACGACAGAGGUGAAAUUCUUGGACCGUUUGAAGACAAACUACUGCGAAAGCAUUUGCCAAGAAUGUUUUCAUUA
rnacentral:rRNA from 1 species